rnacentral:lncRNA from 1 species
GUGAAACAACGAUUUAUUAUUUCUCACCCUUCUUUACGCCGGGUGGGCUCAGCUGGCUGGUUCUUUCUGCUGGUCUCAUCUGGGCUGCAGGCAGAGGCUAGACUGGGGCUGGAAGGUCUCAGAUAGUUUAAAAUGACCUCAUUUACGUGUCUGGAGCCCUGGUGCUGGCCCUUCACAGUCCUCUCCAUAUGGGCUUCUCCACUCAGCAGUCAACCCUAUGCUUCCUCCCAUCGCAUGGGGGAGCUCUCAAAGGGCCAAGGUAAAAAUGUGAGCUCUCUGGAGGCCCGGGCUCUGGAACUGACUCAGCCUCACUCCCAGCACCUUCUGUUGGCGAAAUCAAGACUCAGGAUGAGCCCAACUUUGAAGUCUCGGCAAGUCAACGCUGCCUCUCACUGGUGGGAAAUGCAAAAUAUCACGGCCAUGCUCUGGGGUCUAUCCAGGUCUGGAUGUCUGUGUACCCGCAGACUGGGUCAAAGUCGCAGCAGCUCCUUUUCAGAUGGCUUUGGUUUUCUCUCGAAAAGCUCACCUGCUGUUGAAAACCUGGGCGUUCCUGUUGGGGCUCCGCAGGUUAAGAACCUGACUAGUAUCCAUGAGGAUGCGGGUUCAAUCCUUGGCCUCACUCAAUGAGUUAAGGAUCUCAUGUUGCUAUGAUCUGUGGUGUAGGUCAAAGAUGUGGCUCAGAUCUGGCUGUGGCGUAGACCAGCCGCUGCAGCUCUGAUUUAACCCCUAGCCUGGGAAUGUCAAUAUGCUGCAGGUGCGGCCCUAAGAACAAAGAAAGAAAGAAAACAACCUUUGGGCAGAAUCAGAGAGAUACCUACUGGCGGGUCAUCGCAGGACUGCUAGCCAAUGUCAAGGGCCCGUUUGCAGGUGCAGCCUGCGUUCCAUCAGUAUCCAUCUGCCCUGUCGUGAGAUUUUCACCACCAGCACUCAGCAGCCCAGGCAGAGACCAGCCAAAGACAGAUGUUGGAGUCAUCCAGGGUUAGGGCCUGCCCGCUGGGUGUGAUCAAAAGAAGAUGAGGGGCAGGAGGUGAGGCUUGUUGGCAGCAGGGUAAUUACAGUGACAGACCAUGACAUUUAAGCUGGGUAAGCAGGAAAAUGAAGACAGGAUUUCCUCUCUUAAAAUACUAGGUUGAAGUUUUUAACUUUUUCGCAAAACAACUUAAAAAAUAAAUACCUACCCUCGUUCCUUGCUUCGUUAACAUCUGUGUAUGGGGUCAAGACCUGUCCGUCAAAUACCUGCUAAGUGAAACAGCGGAAAAGCUAAUAUGACAACACCAUUUCUCCUUUUCUCAGCUAAUGGAUUCCCGAUACAGCGAUGAGAAGAGCCCCAGCUGAAAGUCUCCCCCGUUGGUUGGUGAUGAAUUCCGCUCCCAUGUUCUGCAAGUGUUACAGAAAAUUCACCCCUUUAAAUGACAUUCGGUCCUAUGAUCUUGUCCUGAUUUCCUCUGUAAUCUUACCUUUUUGCUCGAAGAAGCAUAUUACUUUAAUUUUCUGUUCAAAAUAUACUUGACCACACAGCAGCAGUACAGCAAACAAGUAAGUCACCUACAGGAGCCCAGUUUGGUUUCGUGAUCAGUUUUCCAAGGUUUAAUUUUGAACUCUGCCUUCUCAUUCCAGUAGGUUUCACCUUCCCGCAAGCUGGGCCUUGUGAUUAAGACCGAGUCACCAGAAAAGCCGAGUCUUUUCUGGCUGCUUCCUGUUCUACCAUGGAUCGCCUGUGAGCCACAGAGCUCUCUUUCCAUGGAACAUAAACACGGUCAGGUCACCUCUGCAACCACCUGACACUUGAUACCUGAGGCUAUUCGUUUCCAUGCAACUCCAUGCCCACAACCUUGGAAGUUUUUUCUCCCUUAGUAGCCCUUCCCCCCACCAGCCAAGGUCAAUUUCCAUCAGAUAUUGUCCUCCUGGCUCUGCAACCUACAUCCUGUUUAAACUUUAAAAUGCUGUUUUAUUUACAUCAUUACUCUGCUCAGAAAUCUUCAAGGACCCUACGUGACCUUUCAUUGCCUACAAGCAUGAAGUUCAGACUCCUUCAGCUAAGUCCAAGCUCUGUGUUUACUUUAGCCUGACUUGUGAGACUACUUUAAGGCAGCUGGCAACAGAAACGUUAGAACUCGGUUUCCACAAAGCUAAGUUCCCUACAAUCUGAGCUCUCCAGUAUCCCUAGUAACGCUCCAACCAGCUUCUCCUCACUUCUUCCCCCCUCACCCAGUAAAACUGGGGUUCUCACCUGGGUGUCCAUUGGAAAUAUCUGGUGAAUUACCCUAGCCCACUUGAUAUCAUUGAUCUGGGCCGCAGCUGGGCACUGGGAGUUUUCGCUCCCUGGCGAUCCUAAUGAGCGGUCAAGGUUGAGAACGGCUGUGUUAGGACAAGUUUAUUGACUCUCCCGAAAACAGCCAACAUGCCACUCCUUCCCCAGCCACACCCCCCUUCUCUCUUUUACUAAUUGAAACCCUGCCCCUCUUGGAGAGCCGACGCAGGUGCUGCUGGGGUCUCUCCUUAUCCCCCAGGGUCAAACACUCCCAUAGUUAUACCUCAUUUACACUUAAAUGGACAGAACACUGUAAACCAACUCUAAUGGAAAAAAUAAAAAUCAUUAAAAAAAACCCAACACUUGGAGUCCCCGUCGUGGCGCAGUGGUUAAUGCAUCCGACUAGGAACCAUGAGGUUGCGGUCAGAUUCAUUAACUACUGAGCCACUAUGGGAACUCCUGAAUUGCACACUUUAGAUGGGUGAAUUUUAUGGUUAUGUGAAUUAGAGUUCAGUAAAGCUUUUCAAAAGAUCUUUUAAGGGGAGACUAAUAAAACUUUAAAAAAAAAUCUUUGCUUUUAAACAGUUAAUAUUUAAUUUAUCAAAUUCCAGUUGAAUGUCCUCGUUAAACCUUAAGCUUUUAAAUCUAGUUCAGUUCUUACUAUUCUAAUGGUAAGUAAAGUGAACUUUAAGCAUCAUUUGGAAUUAGCCUUUGAUGAACUUUAGAUGUCAUUCACAUACUUAAUCAUCUUCAAACAUUUUAAACUAUUUAUACAUGUAAUAUUUUAUUUCAUUCAUAAGUACUUCAAGUGUUGGCUGUAAUGCCUUCCUGAAUCCCUAAAUAAUAGUCUUAAAAUUUAUAAAAUUUAAUAUGAUGAGCCUAAAUCCUUAUCUGUUCAUACACUGCCCAUCAACCUUGUGAGAUUGCAACUUAGAAGUCUAAAUCAACUACUCAAUUUGAAUUUUAAAUUUUAAUUAAGGCUGUCAUGCUAAGAAGCCCUCAUCACUUAAACAUUAUGGGUACAUAAAACACCAGAUAUACAGGUGUUAUGGUUUUUAUUAUUGUAUACUUUAUUUUCUUAAUUGCCAAAAGUCCAAAAGUUAAAAGAUGCAUACAUACUAAAAAGGCCAGGUACCAUCCCAGUAAACGAGAUUAAUUAGACCAGAGAUUUUGGUCUAAUUAAUCCAAAUUAGAUUAAUCUGGACAUCUGGAAUGAUCCAUCUUUCUGUCCCAAAUAUCAUGUCUAGAACCUUUCUAUAAUCACUUUGUCUUGGACUACAAAAACUGAAGCACGGUGUUGGAUUCAAGUUAUAUAUAUAUUACCUGCCUACCUACUCACAGAAAUCUGCAGCUUCCCACCAGGUAAAUAACUUGCUUGGGCUUUGUAUUUUUUGACUUUUAGGAUAUACCCGUCUUUUUGGUUUAACAUGUAAAAGUGGUUGCACUUGACGUAUGAUACUCGUUAAAAUUCACACAGGGAUUUUAAAGGAUUUCUGCUUGCAUUUUGGAUAUUUCAUAUGUGAUUGUCUCUGACUGGUACUCACAAUUCCUGAAGUCACUGUCCAAACAUGCAUUAAUUCUGUUUGCAAAAAUUUGCAUUUUUUCCUCUCAUUCAUGCAGUGGGCUGAGGGGCAGCAUUUGUGCCAGAACUGUAGAAAGGAAUACAACCAUUUGUUUGAACUCAAGGAGUUUAGACUUUUAGAUGGGAGCGACCUAUAAAUGAACAGAAAAGCGUUCUAGGUACUUAAUCAGUGACUUUUUCCACUGAAAAGGAGGACAAGGGGCCUUGUUUGUUUUACUGGCUGCUGUUGUCUAAUUCCUAGUGGCACUCAGUAUUUCUUAAGUGAAUGACUAAAUGCUAAGAUCGUUAUACAGAGGGAGCUAAGGGAGCCCCCAUAAUAGGGGCCUCUGCCUAGUUUUAUGUGUGGCUGGAGCGUGGGAUGUCCCUUCAGAGAUAUCACCAAAAAAUUCCUGGAAGAUGGCCUAUGCAGUGAGUCCCGGGAAAUAAAGGAAAUGAGGUAAAAGUGGCCUUGGGGGUUGCUUGGGAGUUCCCACGUGACGUUGAGGAACUUCUGGGAACAGGUUUGGGAUGCCAAGAAUAGACCCGUGCGCAGAGGGAAGGGCCUUGGAGACAUUUCCACUUUAGUUUCUAUAACAGUAUGCUGACCUGUUAACAACGUGUCCUCUAUUCCUGCUCCACUGGUCACUCCGGGAUGCAUCUGUUUGUCACCCCGCUGCUCAGCAUGAUGGCGGGGAUGGAGCAGCUCCUCCGGGUUAAGGCGGGGAUGAAUAAACGAACGAACGAAUGCAGAACUGCCGUGGGAGCACCGUGCCAAGACGGCGGCUUCUGGACGGCAGGGAAGUUCGGGCACCCAUACAAGCUGUGCAGAGACUUAGAGGCUUAACUCGUGGUAAGGCGAGUUUGGUCAGCGUCACCUCUCAGAAAUAAAACCAGAGACACGACGUGGGGACGGGGGGGGGG